CGAGCGAGCGAGCGCGUGACACGGCGAGCGCGGGCCGUGGGAAGCUGCUCGGCGGGUCGCGCGCUCGCCUGGCGAUGGCGGCUUGGCUCUUUUUAUUCCCAAAGGCCGAGCGGGACCGUUCACCCAUGCUGAGGCGAGGAGAGCGCGCGUGCAGGUUGCUGGUUGACCACAGAUUAAGACACUGAGGCUCGGGCUGCCCAGGAUCCUCUUUUCCCGCCUAACCUCCGUCUACGAGCCCGACCGACGUUCCUCCCGAGGCCCUGCUGUGUAAAAUGAGCCCCACCUGAGGACUGCACGGGCCAGGGAGCGCGAGCGAACUCAGGUCCGCGAGGCAGGACAGUGGUCCUGCUUUUCUAUUCAUCAUCUACUGCAGAACAUCAUCUUAGCAUAGACUUGACUAAGUACCUUUUGAGAAAUCUUGGAAAUAAAGUCUCCCUGAUGAACAUAAGGGGGCAUCUUUACACGUGUGAAGCCGAACAAGUGUUAUUAAAGAUCUACAUCGAAACUAUCUGGGAGACCAUCAUCCAAAUGAAAAUGUAUAAAAUAUGACAUCAUGCCUUUAGUUCACUCUUUUUUUAUUAAAAAUUUUCAUGCUACUGAUUUGUUUUAUGAUAGUACAGUUGACUUCGGCAUUCUCUGUAGUAAACAUAUACUUUAGGGGUAUUGAUUUGGGGAAUUGUAAAUAAGGAGAAUGAGAGAAAUAGAACAUUGAGAAUAUCCCCAAAUUAUUUGUAAAUAUUGAUGUUUCAUAUUUUUACACGAACAGUACAGCUUAGAAUAAGACAAAAAGUAGCAGGAGCUGUGGUAAAGAAAAUAACCAUUUCUGCGCAGGAACAAAAAAGACAGAUUAAUUUCAGGUGGGGAAAAUCUAUAUGAACUCAUCCCAAGCACUAAAAGGACAGUAAACUAAAGUGUCACGAGGCUGCUUUCCUGGCAGCACACUGCACAUGGGCUGUUGUUGUGUCAGCCGCCGAACUCUGGAAAGCUGCAGUUCUCUACCUGUGGGUUGUGACCACUACAGGGGUCGCAUAUCAGAUAACCCACAUGUCAGAUAUCUGCAUUAGGAUUCUUAACAGUAGCAAAACUACAGUUAGGGAAUAGCAAUGGAAUAUGCUACAGGGGGGGUCACCACAGCAUGAGGAACUGUAUUAAAGAAUCACAGCAUUGGGAAGGUUGAGAACCACUGCUAUAAAGGUAUAUAAAAGGCAUUCCCUGUGUGCCCCAAACUGCCUUUUCUCCUGCAGAAGAAUCGAGGGGGGGAAUUGUAUUCUUUAAAUAGAAAAUAUGAGUGCUGUAUGUGCAGUGGCUUUUAAAACAAAGAAUAUGAGAUGAGGUAAUAGACAAUAUACCAUCUGAUUUCUGGAAAGACCUUGUGACUGUAACAGAAUUCCUUCAGAUUUCUCAGAUUAAUUAUUCUCUCUUCUGCUAUUUUAUCUAACUAUAAAAACCACUCAAGUUGAUCUAACCAUGCUAUUAUUUGAAAAUAUGGGCUUCUGAAUAUUGCUUUACUUCUGGAUGAUUUUGAAUGCAUAUCUAUCAUAGAAUUACUGUACUUUUUCUUUACCUACAUGCACCUGUAAUAAAACAUUUUGUAUUAA